rnacentral:rRNA from 1 species
UGGGGGAUUUUGCACAAUGGGCGCAAGCCUGAUGCAGCGACGCCGCGUGAGGGAUGAAGGCCUUCGGGUUGUAAACCUCUUUCGCUGGGUUGAAAGGCCAUGCUUUGGGUGUGGUUGAUUUGAACUGGUAAAGAAGUACCGGCUAACUACGUGCCAGCAGCCGCGGUAAUACGUAGGGUACUAGCGUUGUCCGGAUUUAUUGGGCGUAAAGGGCUUGUAGGUGGUUUGUCGCGUCUGUCGUGAAAUCCUGUGGCUUAACCAUGGGCUUGCGGUGGGUACGGGCAGGCUUGAGUGCGGUAGGGGAGACUGGAAUUCCUGGUGUAGCGGUGGAAUGCGCAGAUAUCAGGGGGAACACCGGUGGCGAAGGCGGGUCUCUGGGCCGUUACUGACACUGAGGGGCGAAAGCGUGGGGAGCGAACAGG